UACGAGGCACGAAUUGUUGUU
ensembl:piRNA 21ur-1934 ncRNA